UUUGCGAUAGAAUGGCUGAGAUUAGGCGGUAAAUUGUAAAUUUAUUAACGGAAAAUAAAUUCCUUCUGUCA
rnacentral:tRNA from 1 species